rnacentral:rRNA from 1 species
AGUGAACGCUGGCGGUAGGCCUAACACAUGCAAGUCGAACGGCAGCACAGUAAGAGCUUGCGCUUACGGGUGGCGAGUGGCGGACGGGUGAGGAAUACAUCGGAAUCUACUUUUUCGUGGGGGAUAACGAAGGGAAACUUACGCUAAUACCGUAUACGACCUACGGGUGAAAGCAGGGGAUCUUCGGACCUUGCGCGAUUGAAUGAGCCGAUGUCGGGUUAGCUAGUUGGCGGGGUAAAGGCCCACCAAGGCGACGAUCCGUAGCUGGUCUGAGAGGAUGGUCGCCCACCCUGGAGCUUAGCCACCGUCCUUGCUCCUGCGGUAGGCAGCAGUGUCGAAUAUUGGACAGUAGGCGCGAGCCUUGUCCAACCGUCCCGCGUCUGUUGCAAAGGCCUUCUGUUUGUAAAGCCCUUUUUUUGGUAAUGAAAAGCAUCAGCUUAAUACCCCGCUGUUCUGACGGUACCCAAAGAAUAAGCACCGGCUAACUUCGUG